ensembl:lncRNA
GUAGGAAGCGCUUGGUUUGCGGUGUUCUCUCUUCUUUUAAUCUACCAUUAAAGCAUGCGGAUAGCGGAGUUAAGCGUGACAUCCACUUGAGCUGCGGCAAAACGUCAGAAGGACUCGGGUAUUUUUAUAUUGCAGGACUAAGACAGAAUGUCUGUGCAAUAAUCUUAGCGUUAGCAAGGACACUGCUGCCAUAAGGAUCUGACUAUCUGGCUUUUUUGAAUGAUUCCUGAAGGCUGCGAUUCAAUGUCUCCGUGUAAUGGAAUUGAUUUCCUUCAGUUAAGUUGGUUUCUCCCUUGGUUUUCUGUGAUGGCUUUAACCUGCAGCGCCAUGAGCAGGCAAUCUGAAGGCUGUGGUUGGUGACUCAUGCCAUUAGUUUUGCCUCUGGCAUUGCUACGGAAAAUCCAUUUCCGUCCAAACUGAAGCUGUCUGUUGAGCGUUAUGUAGUGUGCUGCCUUCGUUUUCUUUUCAAUGAAAAGCUCUUCCAUCUAGAAAUACACGUUCAGACUCUUGCAUUCCAGGUAUGUUUCUGGGGAAGACUGGAAAUACUUUUAACCUUCUCCUCACGGAAUGUAUGAAGGCUGCUCCGAAAGUAAUGCCUCCUAUUUAUUCCCAUGGAAACUGCAACAGUUACAAAGAGUACAAUAACACCGUUUGAUAGAACAAAUUCUCAGCUACAAAGCACUAUUUUUCAACAUGGUCGCCAUCAUUAGCUAUGCAUUUUCAUCCGUGAUGCACAAGAGCCUGUCCAGAACAUAGCUUAUCUUUCACGUUGCUGUUGAAAUGCACCACGCACCCACUCACUGUUCUCACAUCCACUGUUUUGUCUCCAUAAAUGUUCAGCAAGCGUCCAUGAAUGUCAGUGGGUGCCAUUUUUUCUGCGUGGAGAAAUCUGAUGAGACACCUUUCUUUCAUCCACCCUGCCUUGUCACAGACCAUUGUGUACGACUGUCCCUCUGCUGCCAUCUGUCACAUGGCAAUAACAUGUAACAGAAUAUUGGUAGGAAGGUUCAACCUCCACUGCCGUACCACCAGCAUCCACCUCUGAUAUUGUGGGCCAACAUAAUAAAAUAGGAGGCAUUACUUUUGGAGCAGGCCUUGCAUUUAGGGAGACAUUCCUCAAGGACCAGUUUGACAUGGAUGCGUGAGGCAGGAAUUCAUGAAUUUCACCGUGUCGAACAUCCAGGUCUUGGUGCCUGUGAGAUGAGUUUUCUCUUCUAAACAGUGGAAGUUAUCUCCUCUCCGCCUUCUUUCUGCCUGCCUUUCAUCCCAGCAAGGCAGGAAACUGGCUUUGCUAAUUCUUUAGAGAUCUCUGUGGCUUCCUAUCACUUACCUACCAGGUCUUUCUCCAGUAAUCUAUGAAGUCUUCUGUGAUGACAAGUGAGAAAUCUGGUGAUUGCUGCACAUCAGGUAUCAGUCGUGGAAGGCACACUCUGGUCUGGGAGCUGGAGGCAGGAAGCUCCUUGGCCUGUAAUCCUACAUUUCUACUUUAACAGCACAUACAAUUUGAGAUAGCUGUGAGCAAACGAAGCUGAAGGUUGGAAUUCAUGAAAAGAGAAGCGUUGUUUUUGCUAAUUGGCUAACAUCUGAAGGGUUUGGCAAUGUGAUUACCAGCUGCUAUAGUCUGCAAUUGAUGUCACCUUCUCUUUGUAUAUAAACAUUAGUCAUUUGCUAAAGAAUGUGAAAAACAGGUGUUCCCUGUUCAUUGGAAACCUAUUCUUUUAAUGGGAUACUAUAAGAUAGCACCUGACAUAGAACAAUCCCUCGUAUGUUUGCUGUUAUUAACAUAAACACACUUGAACAGUUCCUUAUGCGGUGCCAUUGGUAUGCGUAGCACAGCAAAGAUAAACAAAAUGACAGAUGCCUAAACCAGAUGAAACUACAAUUAACCUAAUGACAGACAAAAAUAAAGGAAGUGUGGCAGGAAAAUGUGAAGGAACAUAAAAAUCACUGCAAGCUGCACUCGUUAGCUUUGUUUUUUUCUUUUUAAAGAAGUACUUCUACAGUUUGUAGCCAAUACAGGAAGUGAAGGUUGAAGCUGUAACCUUGCAGAGGGAAAUUUGGCUUCCAGACGUGACUCUUUGAAAAGGUUUUGGAAUACAGGAGUGCUCUGCAUACAGGAUGAGAAAAGACAUUGAAGAAUAAGCAGUAUGCAUGGAAAAUAACCCACAGUGAUUAGCGGAAAAAGGGAAUAAAGCUAUGUCCCAUAGGCGUGCCCUCUGGAGAGCUUCAACUCAACCUUCUUAUCAGCUGUAGAGCGCAGCAGGAAAAUUGGUACUGUGGCUCUGUAUGCACUCAAACUGGUUUCCCCUGGCAAUCCUGGCAUUGGAUCUUGUGAAGGAAACACCUGGCCCUUGGACUACACAAAGUCUAACAUCAGAGGCGCCAAUCAGCACUGUGAUGUUAUGCAUUCCAAAAGCUGAAAGCGUCUGGCGAAUGAAGCAAGAAACUGCACAAAGGGAAAGUCUGGUGAUUCAGUCAGCUGCUCCAUGCCCAGAGAAGUGGCCUACGGCCCUGCCCUUCCCACAGCACUCUCCAUUCCUCAUGCUGGUGGCCAGCCAUCUACUACAGACAUUACUGAAGAGCAGUACUUGCAUCGUCGCCUUUAGGCAACUGAAAAGUAUGACUGACAUAAAAAUCCAGAGCUUUCAAAUCCAGAGGCCCUCAUUGCUGGUAGAAACAAGAGAGGGAAAUAUAUUCAUAUUCUAGACAGGCACUAGAGAGAGGUUCUCUGCUUAAAACUGGACUAAAUCUCCAGCUUCAUACGUCAACAUGAAGGGAGGAGUAACUCAGCACUGCUCUCUCCAGCAUCACAAGGCUCUGAAGGUACUGCCUCUGACAGACUUUUUUUCUCUGAGUGGAUGAGUUAUUGAUCAAGUAAGAGAUAAAAAAAAUAGGCACUUACUUUGUGCCACAUUGCUCUGGUCAGUGAUAGAAGCUCACUGCUGGAUACCGAUCUUAAUACAAUCUCAUGAACUCAGCAGAUCCUUUUCCUUAGUCUGCACUAAUGUCAUAUUAAGUGUCUUUGUGUUUUUUACCAUAUUAAGCAUUUCUGAAACUUGAAGAUUGAUUUUGGUUUGAUUUUAAAGGGCUGAGAGAUUUUAGAAUUAGAUUUUAAUAGCCAAUUAUAGAUUAUUAAACAGUGGAAAAAAUUUAAAGCCAUUAAAAUAAUCUUUUAAACCUUCCUUAAAAUUACAUGCGAUCCACUGAGAAUAUUCGUCCAGCUGUAUUUGAAAAAUAUUAAUUGGAAGUCAGUGCAAAUAUAAAUGCUAAUGUGAACUUAACCAGAACGUGAGGGUUUCUGAACUGGAAAAGCUCUCAGAGCACACAGAAGUCACCUGUCAAGGUGGUUUUGGGACAACCAUAUGUACUAUGGGAUGACGGAGGGCAAAAAUUACGGGGGGCCACUAUGUGACUAAUUCUGCUUACUUCUAUUUUGUUUGUUUGAACAUCAGAAAUUCCUCACACGUAUCCUGUGUCUUCCAGUGAUUUGUUACACCUCUGUAAAAUACUGAUUUCAUUUCUAAGGGUGUUUCUGCCUUUAAAGAGCAGUAUCUGUCUGGCUCAGUUGGCAGUGCUGACCGGAAUAAAAACAAACAAACAACAAAAAACAAAAAUAAAUGAACAAAUAAAUGAAAAACAUCCCUGAUCAAAUAUCAGUAACUGUUACAGAACAGGAACUAAAAGAGGGGAGAUUUAGGUUAGAUGUUAGGAGGAAAUGCUUUCCCCAGAGGGCAGUGAGGUGCUGACACAGCU